GACGAGCCACACGAACGUUAUUCGGAAUUACUGGGCUUAAAGGGUGCGUAGGCUGUGCGGAAAGUUGGGUGUGAAAUACCUCAGCUUAACUGAGGAAUUGCGCCCAAAACUACCGUGCUCGAGGGAGACAGAGGUAAGCGGAACUUAGGGUGGAGCGGUGAAAUGCGUUGAUAUCCUAAGGAACACCGGUGGCGAAAGCGGCUUACUGGUUCUCUUCUGACGCUGAGGCACGAAAGCUAGGGUAGCGAACGGG
rnacentral:rRNA from 1 species